rnacentral:rRNA from 1 species
GAAGGGGGCUAGCGUUGUUCGGAAUUACUGGGCGUAAAGCGCGCGCAGGUGGUCUUUCAAGUCAGUGGUGAAAGCCCGGAGCUCAACUCCGGAAAUGCCAUUGAAACUGUCAGACUUGAGGAUGAGAGAGGUGAGUGGAAUUCCCAGUGUAGAGGUGAAAUUCGUAGAUAUUGGGAAGAACACCGGUGGCGAAGGCGGCUCACUGGCUCAUAUCUGACGCUCAGGCGCGACAGCGUGGGGAUCAAACAGG